rnacentral:misc_RNA from 1 species
GGAAGGAUCAUUAUCGUACAACCGAGGUGCGAAGGCUGUCGCUGACCCUCAAAGGUCGUGCACGCCCGAGCGCUCUCACACAAUCCAUCUCACCUUUGUGCAUCACCGCGUGGGUCCCCUUUGCGGGAGGGCUUGCGUUUUCACAUAAAACUCGAUACAGUGUAGAAUGUUUCUUUUGCGGUCACACGCAAUCAAUACAACUUUCAACAACGGAUCUCUUGGCUCUCGCAUCGAUGAAGAACGCAGCGAAAUGCGAUACGUAAUGUGAAUUGCAGAAUUCAGUGAAUCAUCGAAUCUUUGAACGCACCUUGCGCCCCUUGGCAUUCCGAGGGGCACACCCGUUUGAGUGUCGUGAAAUCUUCAAAACCCUUUUUUCCUUUGAACCAUUGCGGUCCGGGAAAAGGAUUUUUGGACUUGGAGGCUUAAUGCUCGCCCUUUCUUUUCGAAAGCGAGCUCCUCUCAAAUGAAUUAGUGGGGUCCGCUUUGCUGAUCCUUGACGUGAUAAAAUGUUUCUACGUUUUGGGUUUAGCACUGUCCCUUGGAUGCCUGCUCCUAAUCGUCUCAUUGACAAUGAUGGUGCUCCGGUCACCGCCGUCUACAUCGGCGGGAGGCUGGACCCACAAAAAGAAAACCUUGACCUCAAAUCGGGUGAGACUACCCGCUGAACUUAAGCAUAUCAAUAAGCGGAGGAAAAGAAACUAACAAGGAUUCCCCUAGUAACUGCGAGUGAAGCGGGAAAAGCUCAAAUUUAAAAUCUGGUGGUCUUUGGCCACCCGAGUUGUAAUUUAGAGAAGCGUCUUCCGCGCUGGACCGUGCACAAGUCUCCUGGAAUGGAGCGUCAUAGAGGGUGAGAAUCCCGUCUUUGGCAUGGACACACCAGGGCUUUUGUGAUGCGCUCUCGAAGAGUCGAGUUGUUUGGGAAUGCAGCUCAAAAUGGGUGGUGAACUCCAUCUAAAGCUAAAUAUUGGCGAGAGACCGAUAGCGAACAAGUACCGUGAGGGAAAGAUGAAAAGCACUUUGGAAAGAGAGUGAAACAGUACGUGAAAUUGUUGAAAGGGAAACGCUUGAAGUCAGUCACGUCGACCGAGACUCAGCCUUGCCUCGGCUUGGUGUACUUCUCGGCUGACGGGUCAGCAUCAAUUUUGCCCCUUGGAUAAUGGCGAGGGAAAUGUGACACCUUUAUGGUGUGUUAUAGUCUCUCGUCGCAUGCAAGGGUUGGGAUUGAGGAACUCAGCACGCGCCUUUUGGUGUCGGGGCUUUGCCCACGAUACGUGCUUAGGAUGUUGGCAUAAUGGCUUUAAACGACCCGUCUUGAAACACGGACCAAGGAGUCUAACAUGCCUGCGAGUGUUCGGGUGGAAAACCCGUGCGCGCAAUGAAAGUGAAAGUUGGGACCUCUGUCGUGGAGGGCACCGACGCCCGGACCAGACCUUCUGUGACGGCUCUGCGGUAAAGCAUGUAUGUUAGGACCCGAAAGAUGGUGAACUAUGCCUGAAUAGGGUGAAGCCAGAGGAAACUCUGGUGGAGGCUCGUAGCGAUUCUGACGUGCAAAUCGAUCGUCAAAUUUGGGUAUAGGGGCGAAAGACUAAUCGAACCAUCUAGUAGCUGGUUCCUGC